AGUAACGCGUGGGUAACCUGCCUCAUACAGGGGGAUAACAGUUGGAAACGGCUGCUAAUACCGCAUAAGCGCACAGUACCGCAUGGUACCGUGUGAAAAACUCCGGUGGUAUGAGAUGGACCCGCGUCUGAUUAGCUGGUUGGUGAGGUAACGGCUCACCAAGGCAAUGAUACGUAGCCGAACUGAGAGGUUGAUCGGCCACAUUGGGACUGAGACACGGCCCAGACUCCUACGGGAGGCAGCAUG
rnacentral:rRNA from 1 species